rnacentral:rRNA from 1 species
UAGGGAAUCUUCCGCAAUGGACGCAAGUCUGACGGAGCAACGCCGCGUGAGUGAUGAAGGUUCUCGGAUCGUAAAGCUCUGUUGCCAGGGAAGAACGGCCAGGGGAGUAACUGCCCUUGGCAUGACGGUACCUGAGAAGAAAGCCCCGGCUAACUACGUGCCAGCAGCCGCGGUAAUACGUAGGGGGCAAGCGUUGUCCGGAAUUAUUGGGCGUAAAGCGCGCGCAGGCGGCUGUUUAAGUUUGGUGUUUAAGCCUGGGGCUCAACCCCGGAUCGCACUGAAAACUGGACGGCUUGAGUGUAGGAGAGGAAAGUGGAAUUCCACGUGUAGCGGUGAAAUGCGUAGAGAUGUGGAGGAACACCAGUGGCGAAGGCGACUUUCUGGCCUAUAACUGACGCUGAGGCGCGAAAGCGUGGGGAGCAAACA